rnacentral:rRNA from 1 species
CUUCGGUUUGGCGGCGAGUGGCGAACGGGUGAGUAAUAUAUCGGAACGUACCCAGUAGCGGGGGAUGACUACUCGAAAGAGUAGCUAAUACCGCAUACGCCCUACGGGGGAAAGGGGGGGAUCGCAAGACCUCUCACUAUUGGAGCGGCCGAUAUCGGAUUAGCUAGUUGGUGGGGUAAAGGCUCACCAAGGCGACGAUCCGUAGCUGGUUUGAGAGGACGACCAGCCACACUGGGACUGAGACACGGCCCAGACUCCUACGGGAGGCAGCAGUGGGGAAUUUUGGACAAUGGGGGAAACCCUGAUCCAGCCAUCCCGCGUGUGCGAUGAAGGCCUUCGGGUUGUAAAGCACUUUUGGCAGGAAAGAAAUCGCAUGGGUUAAUAACCUGUGUGGAUGACGGUACCUGCAGAAUAAGCACCGGCUAACUACGUGCCAGCAGCCGCGGUAUACGUAGGGUGCAAGCGUUAAUCGGAAUUACUGGGCGUAAAGCGUGCGCAGGCGGUUCGGAAAGAAAGAUGUGAAAUCCCCAGGGCUUAACCUUGGAACUGCAUUUUUAACUACCGAGCUAGAGUAUGUCAGAGGGGGGUGGAAUUCCGCGUGUAGCAGUGAAAUGCGUA